rnacentral:tRNA from 1 species
GCGGAAAUGACGGAACUGGCAGACGUGCAGGAUUUAGGUUCCUGUGUUGCAAGACGUGAGGGUUCGAGUCCCUUUUUCCGCA